AAGGCGCCGGCGAGGCCGUUUGGCGUAGCCGCCAUUUUGUGCGCAAGGCGCUGAGCCUGAGGAGAAGCGAGCAACAGCGGCGCCAUGUCUCGGGAUCGGUUCCGUAGCCGAGGCGGUGGCGGUUUCCACCGGCGCGGAGGCGGUGGCGGAGGCCGGGGAGGCCCCAACCACGAUUUCCGGUCUCCACCGCCCGGCAUGGGGCUUGGCCAGAACCGCGGCCCCUUAGGGGGCGGCCCGCCUGGCGGGGUCCCGAAGCCCGAACCCCCGAAGCCGCCCGUCUCGGCCGCCACGCCGCCCGCCUCGUCCGCUUCCGUCACUGCCACUGCCUCGGGCCCCUCCGGCAGCCAGGCCGGCCCUGGAGCCCCGGCGGGGCCCACCCCGGCCGCGGGACAGCAACAGCCGCAGGCCCCGGCGGGCGCCGCUGCCGCCCCUCCUUCCACCCCGUCCGGCCCUGGGGGGCAGGCGCCGCCGAAGCCGAGCCCCACCCCUGUCGGCGGCCCCAAGAAAGGCCAGGGCCAGUCUCCCGGCGGGGGGCCCAAGGGUCCGGGGGGCCCCCAGCAGGGCCCCGGCGGCCCGCACCCCAAGGGGGGGCAGGGACACCGCGGCGGCCCGGGCGGCGAGCAGCGCGGGCGCGGCCAGGGCCCGCAGCACCAAGGGCAGGGCCUCAAUUUGCAGCAGGGCUCGGCCGGAGGCAGCGGCGAGAAGACCACGGACGAGGGCUUUAAAGCAAAUCUGUCUCUUCUGAGGCGACCUGGAGAGAAGACUUACACCCAACGUUGCCGUCUGUUUGUGGGGAACUUGCCUGCUGAUAUUACAGAUGAAGAAUUCAAAAGAUUAUUUGCUAAAUAUGGGGAGCCUGGAGAGGUUUUUAUCAACAAGGGGAAAGGAUUUGGAUUCAUUAAAUUGGAAUCCAGAGCACUGGCUGAAAUUGCAAAGGCAGAACUUGAUGAUAUUCCUAUGAGGGGCCGACAGCUUCGAGUUCGUUUUGCCACACAUGCUGCUGCUCUGUCUGUGCGUAAUCUUUCACCAUAUGUGUCCAAUGAGUUGUUGGAGGAAGCUUUUUCACAGUUUGGUCCAGUUGAAAGAGCUGUUGUGAUUGUAGAUGAUCGUGGCAGAUCAACAGGAAAAGGCAUUGUUGAAUUUGCAUCUAAGCCAGCUGCAAGGAAAGCAUUUGAACGGUGCACUGAAGGAGUAUUCUUGUUGACCACUACUCCUAGGCCAGUUAUUGUGGAACCACUUGAACAACUGGAUGAUGAAGAUGGUCUUCCAGAAAAGCUUGCUCAGAAGAAUCCAAUGUAUCAGAAGGAAAGAGAAACUCCACCCCGCUUUGCUCAGCAUGGCAGUUUUGAAUUUGAAUAUUCCCAGAGGUGGAAAUCCUUAGAUGAAAUGGAAAAACAGCAAAGAGAUCAGGUGGAGAAAAACAUGAAAGAUGCCAAGGACAAACUUGAAAGUGAAAUGGAAGAUGCCUAUCAUGAACAUCAGGCAAAUCUCUUGCGUCAAGACCUUAUGAGGCGUCAAGAAGAAUUGAGGCGUAUGGAGGAACUUCAUAAUCAAGAAAUGCAGAAACGCAAGGAAAUUCAGUUGAGGCAGGAGGAAGAACGUCGUAGACGGGAAGAAGAAAUGAUGAUUCGCCAGCGUGAGAUGGAAGAACAGAUGAGAAGACAGAGAGAAGAGAAUUACAGUAGAAUGGGUUACAUGGAUCCAAGAGAGAGAGACAUGAGAAUGGGUGGUGCUAGCACAAUGAACAUGGGAGAUCCCUAUGGUGCAGCAGCUCAGAAAUUCCCACCUAUGGGUGGUGGCGGUGGUGGUGGCGGCAUAGGUUAUGAAGCCAGUCCUGGUGUUGGCCAACCAGCCAUGAGUGGUUCUAUGAUGGGAAGUGACAUGCGUGCUGAACGCUUUGGGCAGGGAGGUGCGGGGCCUGUGGGUGGCCAGGGCCCUAGAGGAAUGGGGCCUGGAACACCAGCAGGAUAUGGUAGAGGGAGAGAAGAAUAUGAAGGCCCAAACAAAAAGCCCCGGUUUUAGAUGUGACCAGUAGUUUCAUUCCAGUUUGUUUUUGUCUGCCUUGUUUAGACACCAACUUUUUAAUUCUUGCAUUUUAGUAAGAAAGCUACAUUUUUAUGGAUGUUAGAAACUAGUGACCUAAUAUUUGUAAGUGGUCUGUUUGGACAAGUAAAAUUUAAUUAUGUAAUGCAGUGUUUCAAAAAAAAUUUAGCUGUUUUUUUGAUGUAUAACAUCCCUAACUUGAUGGCAGUGUACCAACUUUUUUUUACUGUGCUUCAAAUAAAUAGAAUACUAAAUGUAGUAACUAUUCUGAUCUUAAACUCGCCAUUCACGGUUCUAAAUGAGGCUAAAUGCCAUACCUUUCAACAUAGAAGAAAUGAGUCUUGGAUUUAGAGGUCUGAUUUAGACCAGGAUGUGGAAAAUUAGCUUAAGGGUGAGGCCUCCUCCUGUUAUGCCUCAAGCUUUAAGUUUGGGUCAAAUAGUUGUAGACCGAUACUUGAUCUUCCAAUGGAUACAGAUUUUCAGAGCAUUCGUUAUACUGCAAUAAGGAAAUAAAUGGAAAUUGUGCAAGUGUUGUAAGAUGCAGUAAUGGAAACUAAACUGCAAAUGAUGCUGCUGUCAUGUAAUGAGUUUUAGAUUUUAACAAUGGAGGGUGGGUUGGUAACAGACUUCUCUUUGGCAUCCACUGCUUGAAAUCUUUAAAGAAGUUGAAAAGGUCACUUUUAAAAAGAAAUCCACAGAAUGGCUUGGAUUGACUUCCCAAUUAAAGGGCUGUAAAUGUGACAAUGUUAGUUUUAUACCUAAGCUGUCUGCCUGAGACGCAGGAUUGGCCUGGUUCAGUAUUUAAUACCUAACUGAAAUUGCUUGGUAAGAAGACCAGGGAGUAUUGAGUAAAACAAGGAGGUUUUUAAUAUGUACUCUAUAACUUGCUAUCUAUGCUAAUUGAGUGGACUAACUCUUACAGUUCAGAAAUCAACUAGGGUUAAUGUCAGGGGUCUGUAAAAACUGAAGUUAUCUUUCAUAGACCUUGUAGUACUUAAAUCCUAAAAUGCAUCAUGUUAAAUUCAGAUAAAUAAAUAGCCUCUUGCGCUGUAGUAGGGCUCUCAGCUUUUUUGAGUCAUGCCCAAUCUUCGCAUUUCUUUUUACUUGGUGCUUCUGCUGCCCAUGUGCCAGGUCACAGUGCCACUUAAGUUUGGCUCAGCUCACCACACCUUCUGGUUGAGAACCCCUGUUCUGAUAUUGUCAGCUCUUAAUGCUGACAUUUGGAAGGCAAGAGUAGGACUAAACCUGGAGUUCAAUAGCUAAUGUUACAUAGUACAAAUAAAACUCCCUCUUAAGAGUCUGACAGAGGAGAUGGUUUGAUGAAUUUACAGUUUGCUGUCCACUUAGUUUGCUGUCCACUUAAUUAAACCCCAUAAGAAUUCAAGGUAUGCUGGACUUUAUUACCGUUAUUGUGCCUGACAAGCUGGGAGCAUGGCUUCCCAGUGUAAAAUGCCUUGGUGUUAAGACAGGAUACAUCAACCUGCUUGUGCAAAGUUGGUAAACUUACUUGGUUUGGUUGUAUUUUUACCUGACUCCCAAAAUGUUGAGCAUUCUGUGAAUAGUUUUAAUUGUUAGAAGGUUUUUCCACUGUUUGUGCUAAGCAUUGGCUAAUCCUAAAUUCUGUGUCUCUGGAUAAAGUUUUAGUGUUUAGAUUUCAUUACCUUGGAAUACAACCAGUCUGUCUUCAGAAGUGAGCACUGUUUAAAUGCUGACUGUAAACUUCAAUUGUAAAAUACUGGCAAGCUGUGAAAUGUUGAUAACCAGCUGUGUGACUAAAUAUUAAGUGUCUAAAUAGAGACUCAGCCAGUUUGGCAAAUCUGUUCCUAUUUUCCCAGAACUUUUUAAAGAGGAUAGAUGACACUUUACCACUAUGAAUUGAAAUGUGGGAAAUCUUAGAUCAGCAGUUCUUAAACUGGAGAUGAUCAAGUGGCUGGGAUCCUUUGUAUAGGAUUCUUAGUUUAAAAUCAGCAGUCCAAUUACAACUCGUAUGAAUUUUAUAGUAGGGACUCAAUGCAAAUACUUUCAAAAGGGUGUUCGUGGACACCCACAGAGGGUGAAAGUGUCUGAGAUGGGGAACUCUGACCGUAAACAUUAAAUUAAUUUUUUUCAGUUUAUUUUUCAGAUUACAUGUCAUUCUUUAUUAAAGAGAUGCUGGCACAUAUCCUAAAAUGCUUUGUUUUGUAGUACUGUAACUUUGAAGAGUGAAGGAUGCUGAUGUCCUAAAUCAUUACCUUCCAGAGGUUUUCUUUUUAGUACCCCUAUUUGUAUGUAAGCUGUUGCUAGGUCUUAAAAAUAGACAGUUUGCAAAACUGUGUUUAGCAAACCUAUACUGAAAGAUUCAGCAGUUUCUACAACAUUUGAAAGUUUUAUUAAACCGUGUACCCAGUGUUGUAGUUGCAUAAGCAGACUUUUUAAAAAACAGUCAAGUCCUGCUUUGAGUUGCGUGUGUUAAACAGGCAUACAGUAGCUUCUGGCCAAUUGGAUUUCAAAACCUUUUUAAAGGUACAGUCUUAAAAGCUGACAGACAAAUGUCAGAAUUUUAAAAUUUUAUACCCAGUUAUUAAGUUGGUGGGAGGUGUUAAGGAAGUUGUCAUGUUCCUGUGGUCUUUCCCCAUGGUUCUGUGGUUUUGGAGUCUUCACAAAGUCAGGUGAUUUACAUAACUGAAGUAAAGGAUUUUCAGAUCCCUUAAGAAAAGUCCUUGGUCUGGCAGACCCGUUUCUAGAUGGUCUAGACCACCACGUAGAACCUUUUUUUUGUACUGGACUUAGAGAAAAUAUUGGCUUUUACAAUUUAGUCUGCUUUAAUUAAAUUGAGCCCAUUUAAACUUUUAAUCUGCCGCAUAUAGAAAUGGGUAUCCUUUUGCAUGUUUUCACACUUCCUUAAAAAUGAAUACAGAGCGUAUCUACAGUACUAUGUAGAUACAUCACACCACCUAAUAGAAAUACAGCUUAUGAGAAAUUGAAACUGCUUUUGUGAGAUUUUGUGGUAUUUUUAUGGUAGAAAAAUUCUUGGCUUCUCCUUGGCGGCAACCACUUACUGUGGCAGCAAGUUUUUGCUGGAGUUUUUGAGACUGCAAUUUUACACUCUUAAAAAUAGUGGCCUGCUACAUAACUGCACUUAGCCAGCAUUUCUGCAGUUCAUAACUGUGAGGAACGUAGUACCACAAAUGGCAAUGGACAUUAGGACCCGGAUGUAGUAUUCCUGCUUGCUCCGAGAUUCUCAUUGCCGACUGCGUACAGGUAGGUAACAAGCAAUAUAAUAUAACUUGGUGACUUUCUGUGUAACCUUAUUCUGUGGGUAUUCUGACAUCACACUUCCGACUAUGAAAUUACAGUGCAGCACUCUUCAUACUUGUAUAAUGUUUAGGUUGCAUCAAAGUUGCGUGGCUUUCGGUUUUAAGCUGUAUCUUUUUCAGCAGCAAUAAGCAACUUAUUGCAAUUCUUAGAUAAAUAUCUCAGACCCGAUUCCUUUGUACAUGUGUGACUUGGCUUGUGUGGAUUUUCUUAAAGUACAUUGUAAUGAAGAAGAUAUUCUUAGGUGAGCUCUGUGGGGAAGAGGGAAUGUGAUUUUAGAAUCAUUUAACUAGUCAACUGGGUGCAAUUUGCACCUAGAAAACCUGUCACUUGUAUUAACUUUCUGUAGUAGCAAAAUAUCCCAUCUGCAGUGCAUCCCCUUGUAGAGUCUUGGCUAUUUAGAAAAUAUAUUGGUAAUCAUUGCUCUAGCCUUCAAUGAACUAGGUGAUAAAGAUGCAAAACUCACGUAGUGAGUUUUAAUACUGGGUGUAAGUACUUCUCAGGUCAUAAAUUGUUCAAAUAUCUCCAUUAUUAGUUUUCAGGGUUUAUCAACUUAAGAUAUGUUUGUUUUAAUUUUUAGGUGACAGUGAUCAUGAUAUAUGUUCAAUUAAAGUCAACUGAAUAUGCUGGGAAUCUGUGGAUUCCUGUCUUUACAUAUUCAUCUUGGUAGUGAAUGUACUGAUCAAAGUAGCUUAAUUUUUUCAUCAAAAUAUCUUUCAAGUGUGUGCUUAUUCUAAAUUCACUGCUUGAAAUACCAGAUAUGGUGUUUCAAAAGGUUACAUACCUAAAUGUUUCCAAACUUCCGAAUGUGUCGACCUUCAGCUCCUAUCUGCUUUGUUAUGCUAGUUAGCUGUAAUUACAGGGUCUGGAUGUCAUACGUUUCCUUAUUUCAUCCCCUGAUCUGGUUCUUGGCAAUGCAUAAGAAACCUUUUUCAGAGGUAUUGCGAGGGUUUUUCAACUUGAGAUGCAAAGUUUUACUUUGCAUACUUGUUUCUGGUGUACAUUUUUGUUAAAUUUGGACAUUAUACUUCUGUAUUGUAUCUUCCAAGAAAGAAUCUUACUCAUUGGUAAGCAGUUUAUAAACUAGAUAGGCUUGCCCUCUGCUGUUCGUAUUCAUGUUCUUUUGAAAAAUCAAAGUAAUUUCUGCACUUCAUAACUCAGAUAGUAACAGCUCUUUAGUUACAUUGAAUGUGUAGCUGAACUUAAGCUGUUCAACCUGUGACACCAUUAGUCUUUAAGCCAGUUUGGGCUGUUGCCAUUGUUUAGAGUUUUCUAUGAGUAAAAUUGAGUAAUGAAAUUGGCAGUAUGUUUGCUGUGAAACUGCAAGAAUUGGAUUAUUAGGUAUCUCUAAACCAACAGUCAGGUCUGUUCAGUUUUGCCAGUGUGCUGGGUAUUUACUAGGCACGUGACUUACCUUCAGGAACAUCAUGGAGGGGUUAUAUGGACACAUCUACCUUCUGCAUACUUGGAAUGGUAAUAGGCUUUUUACACUCUUGGAGCAAGCAGUUUGUGACAAAGCAAUGGGUUUCAUACUAGCUUUGAUUUGUCUGCAGUAACGAAACUUAGUGCAGUAGGUUUCUUAAACAAAUGGGCAUGUCUAUUUUAAGCAAACAACUUGUAAUAAGUGGGUAUGAGAAAUAACAGUACACUGAAGUGCUUGCAUUGUGUUUCAUCUUGGUUUUAUCUUUUUCUCUAUAAAUUAUACUUUUCCCAAAAGUUUAUCUGAAGCUCGGAAGUGUGGUGCCAGAAUACAUAUGCGUACCUGUUAGAUCAGAUACUGGUGCUGUCAGGGGAGAGCACAGCACAGUGUAGCAUAUGGGGGCUUUUACUGUAACAUUAAGCAUAUCAAGUCUUGCUUGCAGUUUCCCCAAUAGCAAAACACUAAACAGCUAAAUAUUGAGGCCUGUGAGUAGUUUUAGGACUUGAGCGGUAUUGGGGUUGCAUGUCUCUGUUAAUCAUUGCCAGCUGCAGUGACACGAUCAGGAAGGCCUGUGCGUUGUAACAUGUUAAAUGAGGCUAAGCAUGUUGGAGAAAUUGCAUAGUGUGCUGUUUUGGACUGUUACUUGGCUUCUUCCACUACUAGCAAGGCUGGAAUCAACUGAUCAGCUUCUGAUUUCUCUCCAUAUCAGCUAGUGGGGUUUUUAAAUAGCUGCCUACUGGAAAAGAAAAAAAUGGGAGGAUUGGCCUUCUCCCAUGUCUGUCAUUGCUGCUAGAUAAUGAUUGACAAGUUAGGACUCGAUUGUGCAAUCCCACAGUGGACUGUGAAUACCCCACCUAUAAAUGUUGCUUUUGAACACCAGUACUGAAGAGCUAUCUGGGGAAAAGGGGGUGGCUACAAGUGCAUAAUCUGGAGUGUUGAAGAGAUGCACAAAGAUAUAGUAUCCCUUAUGCAUGGUGUUUGGUGCUACAGCAUAGAAAACAAUGUGCAUACUAAAUUUUGUCUAUUGUCGAUUUAUAAUUCAGUGUCAACACUGUACCAAGAGGUGGGUUUGAUAUUAAAUUUGGGUGUCUCAUCCCCUUGGCUGGCUAAGUAGCAUUGUGAAGGCAGUGUGCUUUGCCUCCGACUAAUAAUGUGCACGGAACUUUGUACAGACUUGUCCCUAGUUGCUGAUGAGUAGAUCUUCAUUCAGCCCCUUGCAGUUUGCCCUCAACAUAGCUGUAGUGAAAGGCUUAAUAUGCGGGGGAGGGGGGAAGCUGUGACAGAAUGAAGGUAAUGAAAAGCACAUGACAAACUCUAGUGUCUUCCUUUGGAUUGCAAUGCACUUGUAGGAUUCUUGGGCUGGGCACAGCUAGUAUCAGGAACACUUUUGCUUCAUCCAUAUGGAGCGUGGAUUACUACAGAUAAGCCAAACUGGUUAAAUAACUAGUAUAGUUUCACAGUUACAUACCUUCACAUAAGGGAUAGUAUACCUCUGACUGCAAUCAAACUUCAUUGUACUCAGACUGGUGAAGCUAGCAGUUAUGGCUUGGUGUUCAGAUUAGGUGCAGUUCUUCACUCAACCACCUGCAUAUUCUUUUACUUUCUUACAAGUGUUUAGACUAGCCUAUUUCUGCCCCUUACACUACUUCCACCUAGUAUUUUUGAAUAAUUUGUAAAUUCCCUCAUAACUAAUCAGUCCAUGUAUCUUUUAAACUUUUACUUUUAAUUUAAAGGUUAGAAUUUUGUAAUGGGUUAAACUUUGUUUUCAGAAACUUUCUAGUGUAUAUUUUUAUAAUAACUUCAGUUGUUAUCCUUUAGGUGAAGAUGAUGCAAGCUGAGUGAAACAAACGUGCUCAUCCAUGUGAAAGCCUGAGCACAAUCCAGACUGUGACCUGAUGUCAGGUGAUGUGGAGUAGCCAGACUGCAAAGUGAAUGGGUGAGUAGUAGAUUAAUCUUGGGAUACUGAGUUUGUAAGAAGAGAUGACCCUAAGUGUACUUAGCAGUUUCUGCCUAAAACUUGACCUGAUCUUAAUAUAGAUUCUUAAGGUCAGAAGUAAUUCUUCAAUGGAUUUUAUAUAAAACCUUUUAAUCUUUCUUUUGUAGAACCAAGAUAAGCAUUGUUUGAGGCUUUCCGGCUCUGCAGCAUCAAUAAACCCUGCUCACUGAACUCUACAGAUGCUCAGACAAAAACAAGGAACCUAACAUGUUAAUUUCAAGCACCAUAAGAAAUGCAUGGUGCAUUAGGAGGAGAGAGGUUUAGGGCAGAUAGCGUAGCUCUUGAGUAAAAUUACCUAAAUUAAACUCGAUGCCAAAAAUUAGUUCUGCUUUUCAUCUUCAAAACAUUUUACAAACAGUUGAACUUCACAGCACCCAGCAAGGUAGGUGAAUCAAUAUUAUAUCUGUUUUUUAUGUGGGGAAGCAAGCAGAUAGUAGGUAGUAUGCAGGGACCAUAAGGAGGAAUCUGCAGAGCUGGAAUUAAACUAGAGUUCUUUUCUCCCACCAUUUGACUAGACUUCAGUUUAAAACACUUACAAAAUAUUAUGCCAGUUUUUAAAACCACAGGCCCGGGGGAAACUUGCUAAAUAUUUUCUUUUGGACUGUUGAUGGUUGUAUGCAUCUGAUCUAUCCUUUAGGCAGAUUGAACAGAAUGAACACUUUUUUGAAACCAGUGAUGUAAAGAUCCUUACGAGUUGAUUCCUAAUGCUAUGUGGUCCAAUUCAGAACUGCUUCUGUGUCCCUGUUUCUAUGCUAUUCACUUAAUCCCAGGUGUAUCCUGAAAGCUUAUAUACAUUGCUAAAGAACAUGUUGGCCAGAUGCUUGAUUUUUUUUGUGUUCAUUCAAUAUUUGUUAGUGAUCUAUGUAUGAAGAUUGCUGGUAACAUCUCUAGAUUUUGGGGCUAACUUUGUUUUUGCAUUCACAGGAAGAAGCAGUGUUUGAAGCCCAGAACCCAGUGGAGAGGACCUAGGGACUUAAGUGGCAAUGUUUUUCUUCAAUAAAAUACUCAAUUGCUGUA